rnacentral:rRNA from 1 species
GAUGAACGCUGGCGGCGUGCCUAAUACAUGCAAGUCGAGCGAAUGGAUUAAGAGCUUGCUCUUAUGAAGUUAGCGGCGGACGGGUGAGUAACACGUGGGUAACCUGCCCAUAAGACUGGGAUAACUCCGGGAAACCGGGGCUAAUACCGGAUAACAUUUUGAACCGCAUGGUUCGAAAUUGAAAGGCGGCUUCGGCUGUCACUUAUGGAUGGACCCGGGUCGCAUUAGCUAGUUGGUGAGGUAACGGCUCACCAAGGCAACGAGGCGUAGCCGACCUGAGAGGGUGAUCGGCCACACUGGGACUGAGACACGGCCCAGACUCCUACGGGAGGCAGCAGUAGGGAAUCUUCCGCAAUGGACGAAAGUCUGACGGAGCAACGCCGCGUGAGUGAUGAAGGCUUUCGGGUCGUAAAACUCUGUUGUUAGGGAAGAACAAGUGCUAGUUGAAUAAGCUGGCACCUUGACAGUACCUAACCAGAAAGCCACGGCUAACUACGUGCCAGCAGCCGCAGUAA